UCUACGUAGUCGACAUCUUGUGGGGCG
rnacentral:sRNA from 1 species